AGCCACAGGAAGCUGGUAGCAGGGUAGAAAGAAAGAAACAACACUUGCAUUCUAUAUCUCUGCCUGAAAAUUGAGGUUGCAAUUCUUAAUGGCUCCCUGUUGCAUUUCUUGGCAACUGCCUGGUGAUGUUCUGGGAGUUCUGUUCCAGAAAGUGUUGAUGCACCAUUUGGGGGCUGCACCGUCCCUGCAGAGAAAAAACAGAUGCUGAUUUCAUUUGGUGUUAAAGAACACCACCACCAAACUACUGUACUGAUGAUAUAUUUGAGGAGUCAUUUCAAUGCCAGGUUUCUAAAAAGCAACUACUUUUUCUUAAAAUAGUUUAAUAGCUUGGAAGCUGGACUAGGCAAUCUUAAUAGUAAUUACCAGCUCUUUCUUUUUCCUUGUUGUUGCUAUCUUUGGACAGCAAUCUCAAGGUCAGGGAUUCAUAGAGUUGGAAGAGAUCUUGCAGUGGUCAACUACUCUACCCCUGCAGAAUAUACAAGCAAAGAACAUCUGACCAUACAACUCCAGUGAACAGUUAGUUUUGAGAAUCUGUUACAACUCUCCUAUGAUAUUCCCUCAUAUUAUGCCCUUGGAGAUCAAGGAAAGGCUUGAAUAAAGACCUGGUGAUGAAGAAACAAACCAGUGAUGCCUGCAGAGGAGAUAGCAGGCUGUAGCAGCACUGCGAAGUAAAGGAUGCCUGAGCCUGAAAUAUCUCAGCGACCUGAUGCAGGAAUGUGUAGAUGUGUGGAAGGGAUAACUUCUCAGAAUCUGUUGGUGGGAAACAAAAAUUGGAAAUGAGAACAGGAUGGGAUUGGGGGAGUAUGGGGGGUAUGGAAGAAAGGGUUGGUAUGUUUUAAUUAGUAACUGAAUUCAGAUGAAGCCUAUGAAAUGCUAGGGCAGGACAUUAUUAAUUUUAUGCCAAUGUUGGGGAACAUUGCCACUUCUGUAUGCCAUUUUUCUGUUAACACCAAUGUUUUUUCAAGUUAACAAUGCCAUCUUCCUGUUAAUACCCAAGGUUUUUCUGGGAAAAAAGUGUUUGCUGUUUGCAAUACAGAAGACUCAUUCACUGAACUCUUGGGGAAAAUAGCAGUUCUUGACAGUACCCUGCAUGAACUCAUGCAGAGACAGAGGAUUGCUAGGUUCAAAGUCAGCUGCUUUGCCCUUUAAGACUUUUCACUAGAGGGGAAGGAGUGGAGCCCAGAAAGGGGUAGUGUUGACCAAGAGUUAUCAAAUGCUUCAGUUAAGAUUUAUUGCUGGUUGGAGCCAGGUACUGACAUGGAGCUUUCCUAGGUACUGCCCUGUAGAUUGCUACAAUUGCUUGAAAGAUUUCACUCCUAAUAUUUUAAUAAAAUUUUCUUCUAAAACUAUUGUUCAUUUUCAACUGCUCUGGAGAAUGAGAACUUAUCUCUUUGAGUGCUGAAAUGUCCUUUAUGUCCCCCACCCUAAACAAAUGGGACAAAGACUGAGCAAUCCAAGCUGAAGUCAUUUCUUCCAUGCCAAAAGGGGCUCACCUACAGCAAUAGCUGCAUGACCUGCAUAUCC